UGGGAAGUAUUGCACAAUGGGCGCAAGCCUGAUGCAGCCAUGCCGCGUGUGUGAAGAAGGCCUUCGGGUUGUAAAGCACUUUCAGCGAGGAGGAAGGUGGUGAGCUUAAUACGCUCAUCAAUUGACGUUACUCGCAGAAGAAGCACCGGCUAACUCCGUGCCAGCAGCCGCGGUAAUACGGAGGGUGCAAGCGUUAAUCGGAAUUACUGGGCGUAAAGCGCACGCAGGCGGUUUGUUAAGUCAGAUGUGAAAUCCCGCC
rnacentral:rRNA from 1 species